CUACGGGAGGCUGCAGUAGGGAAUCUUAGACAAUGGGGGAAACCCUGAUCUAGCCAUGCCGCGUGAGUGAUGAAGGCCUUAGGGUUGUAAAGCUCUUUCGCUGGGGAAGAUAAUGACGGUACCCAGUAAAGAAACCCCGGCUAACUCCGUGCCAGCAGCCGCGGUAAUACGGAGGGGGUUAGCGUUGUUCGGAAUUACUGGGCGUAAAGCGCGCGUAGGCGGGCUAUUAAGGCAGGGGUGAAAUCCCGGGGCUCAACCCCGGAACUGCCUUUGAUACUGGUAGUCUUGAGUUCGAGAGAGGUGAGUGGAAUUCCGAGUGUAGAGGUGAAAUUCGUAGAUAUUCGGAGGAACAUCAGUGGCGAAGGCGACUCACUGGCUCGAUACUGACGCUGAGGUGCGAAAGUGUGGGGAGCAAACGGGAUUAGAUACCCGUGUAGUC
rnacentral:rRNA from 1 species